AUUUGAUGCCAGUUCCUGGUUGAGAGCUCAGCUAUGGCUAUUGACUGGAUAUCUACACAGGGCUGUCCUUGUGGCAUGGGAGUCUCACAAUGACAACUGAGUUCUCAGAAGGAGAGUGCCUACAGCACGCACUCCAAAAGAGGUAGGCAGAAGGUGUAACACUUCAUAUGACCUAGCUUUGGGAAUCGUGCAAUGUUACUUAGUUCUGCUUUUUACCAAUCAAGUGAGUCACAGGCUGAGUCCAGAUUCAGGAGAAAGGAAACUAGACUACAUCCCUUUAUAGGGAGAAUGACUAAGAAUUUGUAGCCACCUAUAAUCCAGUAUAUGCUCUGAGGUCUCAGUUGCAUCUGUGGUUAGACUAGAGAUAUCUGGAUCCGUAUUAACACCUACUGUCAACAAACAGAGCAAACAGCAGGCUUCUAAGGAGAUUCAUAAAAUGACUAAGCUGUCGAGAUGUUGUACACGUACAAACACAGACAUACACAUAUGCGCACACACAAGUAUCUUAUUGCUAAUGGAAUAUUACUAAGGAUGAAGAAAGGCCACUUUUUUGAGUGGAUUUUAUUUCUCCUUUACUGAAAACUAUCAGCACUUUAAGAAAUAUAAAAUAAUUUUAAAUGCAUUCCUAUGAACUACUGCUCCUUUACUUUAGUCUCUUGUGAUAACUUUAUGAGAUAUGCUUGGCCUAAUAUGUUUAAAGUUAAAGGACUAAUUGAGGUGAAGGAGAUUGUAAGUCUAACCAUUAUAAUAUUAAAACCUAGCAGAGUUGUAGGAAUAUAUUUUUUUAAAAUAAUUCAGACAGCAUACUGCUAUACUUAAAGUCAAGAUGCUAAAGAAGAUAUUCACAAGUCACCUGGCUUUAUCACACGGCUUCCAGAGAAGGAAAUGAGUAAAAUUCCAAAGAGAAGUGGUUUGUAGUCUUCUUUAAAAACUGUUCUUAUGGGCCGGGCGCGGUGGCUCACGCCUGUAAUCCCAGCACUUUGGGAGGCCGAGGCGGGCUGAUCACAAGGUCAGGAAAUCAAGAUCAUCCUGGCUAACACGGUGAAACCCCGUGUCUACUAAAAAUACAAAAAAAAAAAAAAAAAAAAAACCAAAAAAAAAAACUACCCAGGCGUGGUGGCAGGUGCCUGUAGUCCCAGCUACUCAGGAGGCUGAGGCAAGAGAAUGACGUGAACCCGGGGAGGCAGAGCUUGCAGUGAGCUGAGAUCAUGCCACUGCACUCCAGCCUUGGCGACAGAGCGAGACUCUGUCUCUAAAUAAAUAAAUAAAUAAAACAAAAUAGAAAAGUUCUUAUCACUAGUACAAGGAGAAAUCCUUGGCUUGUCCUAAUAUUAAUUCACUGUCACAAUCACAGCAUUCUUCCUUGUUUCCUCAGUGAACUCCUUGAGGAGAAGGAAUAGUGUCUUGAAAACCUCCGUAAUCCUCAAAUUACCAAGUACUGUGCCUAGUGUAUGAUAAACAACAAGCAAUAAAGGGAUCAGGUAGUAAAAGUAACAUCUGAUCUUCCUGGAAAAUGGACACUGAAUGACCAACAAGAUUUCUAAGCAAUUCUGUUACACAAAAUUCUUGAAGAUACCAUACAGCUUGCUCUUUUUCGGUCAAAGCAAUUCUAACUUAACAAACACCUGGGAAUUCCGGAUAUGGUCAUAGGACCCUGUGCUAGAGUCUAAGGAGGAAAAAUAUGUAUAAAAUGCCAUCUUAUGUAUUUUAUACACAUGUGAUUUUAGUGGAUUAAUCUGGUUCAUAAAGUGUUGUGGGGAUACUCAAAUUAUUAUCACUUAUAAAGAAAAGAUUUAGAAUAAAUUUACUUUUUUCAUUCUUUUUCAACAAAGAGAACAAAACGAUCAGGUACUUUCGUUUUUGUAAAAAGGGUCUGAAAAAAAUCUAUGUUAUAAAAGAAGUAUUCAUCGUAGCCAUUCAGUUAAAGUAAAAUUUUAUUGGAACCAAUUUUGACAGGUUUGUGAAAAAUGCUGUCUGUUUCACGUAGCAGAUAAUAAGCGAAUUUAUGAUUUAAAAAGCAGUGGUGGCUGGGCACGGUGGCUCACACCUGUAAUCCCAGCACUUUGAAAGGCCGAGGCAGGUGGUUUGUUUGAGCUCAGGAGUUCGAGACCAGCCUGGGUAACAUGGUGAAACCCUGUCUCUACUAAAAAUAUAAAAAUUAGCUUGGCAUAGUGGCACACGCCUGUAAUCCCAGCUACUUGGGUGGCUGAGGCAGGAGAAUCACUUGAACCCGGGAGAUGGAGGCUGCAGUGAACCAAGAUCAAACCACUGCACUCCGGCCUGGGGUGACAGAGUGAGACCCUGUCUCAAAAAGUAAAAUAAAAUAAAAUAAAAUAAAAUAAAAUAAAAUAAAAUAAAAUAAAAUAAAAUAAAUAAAAUAAAAAUAAAGUAAAAUAAAAAGCAGUGGUAACAAGCAGUGAUCUUAUAACUUUCAUUUUCUCUAGGCACUCCCAGACCAAGAGAUGGAUUAGCUGUUUACCACACUCCUUUCUAUUGCUAGUCUCCAUGUCUUAACCUAUAAGAGACUGUAUAACUGAGCUGUAGAUGAAAUAAGGUGGGCCAAAGCAAUAUAUGCCACAAGGAAUACCCACAAGCAUGACUUACGUUAGUUUUCCUGCUCGACUCUAGGAAAUAAAGCAGAACAUAGACUCAGCUGCUCCACCAGCCCCAAUGUCCACCUACCUGGAACUCCCAUAGGUAUUAAAUAGGUGAACAUUAAAAACUUUCAGUUUGCUGACCCAUUAUAUUUCUGAGUACACUUGUUGUUCAGCCUCACCUACCCCAAUGAAUAUAUGAUAUCAGACAUAUUAAAAGACAUCUGGAUUCUGUAUUAAACUAUUUUCUAUCCAAGUUUUAAAAGAGUAUCUCUAUGAUUUCAAAAAUGUUUGAAUGAAUAUCUUUAAUAUACAAUUGGCUAUAUGCUAUCUGUAAUUAUACCAUAAGCCUGGGAAUUUUUGUAAUGUAAAAGUUUAAAUGACAAAAUCCUGACAGAUUUAAUUAGGUUUUUGUGAAUGUUAAGUUGACAACUAUAGGCAACAAUAUUUCAUUAAAGAGAUAUUUAAAUAA
rnacentral:lncRNA from 1 species